UUGGAUUUAUAGUAUCCACAGUGUCUCAUGUUCUCGAUGCCUGACUGUGACUUUUCCUUUGACCUAAAUGGUUGGUCUCAGGUAGGUAAAUUUAUCUUCAUCAAAAACUGAUUUUAGCAAAAGGUGUAUCUAAUAGGUAGGCAUAAAGCAAGGGUUAUUAUCCUUAUCCAGCCCCAGUUUUCUUUCAGGUAAUUGAUACUGCUUACGUAAAAAGAUUGCUUAUUUUAUAGAAUAUGCAAAAGUAAUUUACUUUUAUUUUUUUCCCCUCAUUAUGCUUAAAUCAAUUUCCAUAUUACUUUCUGGAGAAGAGAUUGUCAAAUCAAUUUCCAUCUAUAUAUAUUUUUUAUGGUAAAUUUUCUUUUAUUAGAUUUAUUGGUGACAUGCCUCAAAUGGUAGUAAACAAUUAAUGUUUGACCCACAAACAAUUAAUGGUAUAAAUAUUUUCUAAAGAAAUAAUUUAUUUUUUAUUAUUUAAUUGAUUUUAUAAUACAAUUAUUGUAAUAAUCAUUGAUCAUGAUAUAUAAAUUUUAUUUAAGCUCAUUGUUAUCUUGUUAUAGUGAUUUGAACUAAUUAGCUUUUGAAGGUGACGAAGGGACCAACAAAUCUCAAGACAAGGAAUAGAAAGAAACCUACUCGAAUGAAAGCAACAUGUAUAAAAGCAAAGCUAGCUAUAUAUAGUGUGGUGGGGAUAUUCAAAAUCUAGCUCAUCUUUCUCUUUUGAUAUGUAUUUUACAGGUAGCCAUGUCUAUUCCUUACAUUACAAUAUAGGCCACUGGUUCAACUUGCUCUACCCUAUACAUAUAUUUUUUGUCUACUUGUCCUAUUAUUACGUACACGACUGUUGGAUUUGUAAGCUUUAUUGACGUGGGUGUGGUCUUCGCUCUUCUGUCUCUUCUAUGGAUGAUGUUGAAAACCCUAGAGGACUAGCUAGAUGUGGCUUUUGCAAAAUUAAGGGUUAUGUUCUUUAAUGCAUGUGAACCCAUGAAUCAUCUCAAUCAC
rnacentral:lncRNA from 1 species